UUAAUUUCAUUUAAGGAACAAAAUUUAUCUAUGAAUGAACUGCUGUGAAAAUUUGUCAUUUUGAUGAACUGCUACAUGAGUUCAGAACAUUCCUGACAAGUUACAUUCAAUUGAUUCUCCAAGAGCCUCCAUAGCAUACAUACCAAAAUCAUCUCACCAAUGAAAUGCAGCCAUUUCUGGGUUGCUCAGUGGAGUCCAGAUGUUGGGCAACAAGCUGCAUCAGAAACCAGGCAAAAGUUUCAACAGGAAUGUAAAGGAUCACACACACCCCACCAACAUUAUACAAAACCGUGUGUGUAUUUGUGUUAAUGUGCAUGCAGCAAAAUCCGAAUAAUAGUUCAUUGCAUCUGCUUCUUAAAUCAUCCGAUGGACAUUCUUCGUACUUUUAUCUAUAUAUUUAAACAUCCAGAAGCUAGUUAUAUCUAGUAAAUCUUCAAUUAUCUCUG